CUAUCAGGUCAAGGAUGAAAUUAUCCUCUUUUGUCAGUACUAAAAGACCAUUCAUAGCACACAGCGAUUUAUAAUAAUCGCAAUUCCCUUCACAAUCUUCUUUCUGCCUUUCUUCUUCUUCUGUGCUACUUUCUUCUUCUUCGGUAGUAUAGUCCACUGCAUUGAUCUCCAUUGUUUCUUGCUCUGAGUCUGUUUCAUUUAGCAAAAGUUUUGCCAAAGCUUCUUUCAAAUCUUCUUCUAUAGUUAAGGCUUGGAUCUGCUGUUUGACUCGACACUUAUUAGCGUAAUGUCCCACUUUUCCACAUUUAUAGCAGACUAUAGUUUUCUCUGCUUUGCCUGGAUUAGGCUUCUUUCUUUCUUUUGACUUUCGACUGCUUUCAGGUUUUGAAUACCUUUUAUGCUUGUCCUUGUAUGAGCGUUUAUUUGCAAAGAAACGCUUGCGGCGAUGUUGCCGAAUGUCG
rnacentral:lncRNA from 1 species